CGCGGGGCGCUGCGUGUGGAGCUGCCGGCGGGCCGGAGCGGCGCAGCCCUGAGGAGGAGGGCGUUUUCGGGGAGGACGGCCAGGGGAGCGGAGACAUUGCCCCGAGCAUCUUCUGACAAGCUUGAAACUAAGUUGAGGAGACUAGAGCGGACUGGUGACCAAGUCGGCUUCUCUGCGAUCCACAGCGGGGACCCGUUCUUAGAUGACUUUCAGGCUUGAUGGAUUGCCCACAAUCUAGGAUUGCCCAUGUUUUGAAGCGUGUGAGGAGCGCAUCACCGUACGGCCUUGGAGGAGUGCUUCGCUGCCUGGUUCUUUUGGAGCACUUCAUCGUUUGGCUUUUCCAGAGUGUUUCAUUGUGUGGCUUUUCUUUGGAGUGCCAAAAUGCCCGGUGUAGCGAACUGGGAGUGUAGCGGAGUGCAUCACCGCGUCGCCCUGGAGGAGUGCAUCAGCAUUUGGUAUUUUGGGAGCUGUUUGCUGUUUGUUUGUUUUUUGGGAGCUCUCCAUCCCAGCCCUUUUUUGGAGCCUUCUGGGCCUCGGUUGUUUGGAACUCUCUACCCCAGGAUUUUUGGGAGCACUCCAGCCUGGAGAUUUUUUAGAUCUCUCCACCGUGUUUUUUUUUCGGAGCACUUCACUGUUUGGAUAUUUUGGAGCUCUCCAGCGCGGGGUUUUUUGGGAGCUCUCCACCGUGGGGUUUUUUGGGAGCUCUCCACCCCGGGGCUCUUUGGAGCAC